GAGAGUUUGAUCCUGGCUCAGAAUCAACGCUGGCGGCGUGCCUCAGACAUGCAAGUCGAACGAUUAAAGCUCCCUUCGGGGAGUGUAUAGAGUGGCGCACGGGUGAGUAA
rnacentral:rRNA from 1 species